CAGCCGCCGCGGUAAUACGAAGGGGGCUAGCGUUGUUCGGAAUUACUGGGCGUAAAGCGCACGUAGGCGGACAUUUAAGUCAGGGGUGAAAUCCCGGGGCUCAACCCCGGAACUGCCUUUGAUACUGGGUGUCUAGAGUAUGGAAGAGGUGAGUGGAAUUCCGAGUGUAGAGGUGAAAUUCGUAGAUAUUCGGAGGAACACCAGUGGCGAAGGCGGCUCACUGGUCCAUUACUGACGCUGAGGUGCGAAAGCGUGGGGAGCAAACAGGAUUAGAUACCCCGGUAGUCCCUGUCUCUUAUAC
rnacentral:rRNA from 1 species